GACGUAGGGGGCGAGCGUUGUCCGGAUUCACUGGGCGUAAAGCGCGCGUAGGCGGCUCGUUAAGUCGGAUGUGAAAACCCGGGGCUCAACCCCGGGCCUGCACCCGAUACUGGCGAGCUGGAGGCAGGUAGGGGAGAUCGGAAUUCCCGGUGUAGCGGUGAAAUGCACAGAUAUCGGGAGGAACACCGGUGGCGAAGGCGGAUCUCUGGGCCUGUCCUGACGCUCAGGCGCGAAAGCUAGGGGAGCAAACAGG
rnacentral:rRNA from 1 species